rnacentral:antisense_RNA from 1 species
CUUCACGGUCCCGAGCAGCAGGGGGUGUUCCCGGUCCUGCCCGUAGGUCGCCAGCAGCGCCUGGGCUUC